AGGCUCGCAGGAGAACGAGCACGCCACCUACUCUUUCAAACUGAGUCAUGAAAAUAGAACCAGAGAGCAAGGGCAUGAGGAAGGAGCACUGACUUGCGAGUCUAUACUUAGAAGACGAUAAACGCUUUGCUUUCAAAGAAUUACAUUACUGUACUGUAUGCCUCCGUCUCGUAAUUGGAGAAGUUGUGUAUCAGCCUAUCAUCCUAGAUUACAAAGAGUUCUACUGAUUCACUUACAGUAUUCCGCCGUCCCCAGGCUAUAGGUUCCCUGAAGGCCAUUGAGUUUGUCCACUACUGUUUCCCAGCACCUGGAACUGUGCCUGCC